ACACAAAUUAUAUGGAGUUAACAGAGACAACUUCUUCCCAAUGCAGAUAGAAUCCAUUCUCAUUAAAAAGGUAUUAUCCCUAGGGGGGAAAAAAAUAGCUUAGGGUUUCAUCUCCGAUAAAAUUCUGGUUAAGGAAACGAUGAUCAUUUAGAAAGUAUUCUGACUUUUAAAAGUAACAUGUUUUCAUUUUCAACAAAAGUAACAAUUGUGGCCAAGCACAGGUUUGAAGUACCUUUCCUGUGGAUGGUUAAAAGGUAAGUCUUGAAGAUCGUGCGUCUCCCAGCCCUUUAAAUAGGGACAGCCCAGUGUUUGAGAAGCAGAGCAGCAACUUUGGCUACAGCAUAAUUGGUUUUAUUUAAAGUUUUGCUCAUUUAUUUUUGGUGGAAGGACAUUAGGAAGAAUUUUCUGGUAUUUAGAACUGAUAGGCUCUUGUCAGCAAUUUCCUUUGUACAGGGGCAUUUUCUAACAGAUGGACCAGGUCUUCUCUCAGAAGUUUGGUUGUUCAUUGGCUGAAGGCUGACCCAAUAAAGGUGCAUUGAUCCUCAUGUAGCUGAAGUAUGUAAUAGUAGCACAAAGAUUAUCCUAGAAUAAACCCUGAGCAGCACCACGAGCAUUUCUUCUCCACCCUUUACAGCUGAGAUCUGAGAUUUCUGUCAGGGUCUUGCUUAACUGCAUUUCUGAGCUCCCGCUCUUUGCUUGGGAACAAGUGGCAAAAGUGAAUUUAAUUGCAGGGGAUGUUCCCGAUAGUGCCCGCCUGGCUUGGAGGCAGGCGUGGGAAUUCCUGUCCCUCACUGUCUUGACUCUGUCCUCCUCUCUGCAGGUGAUCUUCUCCAGGAGGUCCCCUCUGGCAGGUCCAGGGUCCUAUGGAAACCCAGCCACGGUGGCAAAGUCCCCUGUAAGUAGUUCUGAUCCCACCUACGGGGACAUGCUCACCAUGGCCCAAAGAUGACCACGCCAGCUGGCCAGGUCACAUCUGAGUUGUGCAUCCACCUAAUCCACGGGGACUUGGGGCCGUGGUGUUCCGGAGAGCGAGGACGUGGAUUCUGGGCAGGCAAGACUGCGCCUGCUCCUGCCAUUGGUUUCAAGAAGAUGGGACAGGCCUGCCUUUGUCAUCUCUCUCCCCUCCCAGAGGCAUGGCCCUGGGGUUUUCCUCCCUCUGCACUUAGCCACAGGGGAUGGGAACAGUAGACAGGGAGGUGUUGGGUCCUAGGUGCCCGGUCCCCUCUUCCUCCUCCUCCUCACCCAUGGAGGUAUUUUAUUAAACAGCUGUCACCCCGCCCUCAGUGCUGCGCAGGUUGGAGAGCCUGAGAUCCAGGCUUCACGGUCAGAUGUUCAGAGGACUCGCUCCACACCGCUGCCCUAAAUGAGCACGGACUCCCAGGGCCUUCCCAGAGACCCCUGGGAUUGCACAUGGCAGAAGCCACUCGAUUUUACCCACGCCCAAAAGGGGGAUGUCUCAACUGACGGAACAACAGGCUCCGGGGGUGCAGCUAGGAGGGGGACCUCAGACACCUCCGCAACAGCUUCCUGAAUCCCGCUGACUCCGUGCCCUGCCCCAGCUCAGCUGGGCUUGCCUCCCCUGACCUCAUUCCUCGGCCGACUCCCUACAAGGUGGUAAAGUGGCUGGUGACCCCAGAUACACCUUUGCCAUUUCCACCCAGCCUGCAGACAGUGCUCCUGUCCCCCCAGAGUCUCACUGGUGAGAGUUGGUCAGCCUGUUGGAUCCUGCACCGGUCAUUGCCACGGCGUGGGACAGGAGGACAGGGUCUCUCAUCUCCACCAGACCAGCCUGGGGACAGGAGCAGCCCAGGGGGCCAUGCAGCCUCCUCCCAGGCCCUUUCUGCCUCCAUGGGAUGCAGACUAAGUUGGACCUCCCCAGAGAAGAGGCUCUGAUCUCCCCACAGAAGGGAGGCUGCGUCUCCAUUUCCCUCCAGAGCCAGAGCUGUAUUUCCAGCCUGCCUGCCUUUCUUCCUCUCCUUACUCUUUCUUUUUUUCCUUUCUUCCUCCCCAUCUCUCUCCCUUCCUUUCUUCCUUCCUUCCACCAAGUUGAAAUGCCCUCCUUCAUUUGCUUAUAAAAUAUUCAUCUGUGAUCACAGGUCAGGGCCUGACGAGUGUCCCCACAAUUAUUGCCAAUAUGAAUACAGUGUUACGUUUUUUUUUAAGACUCGGCCAAGUCGCCAGGUGGAGGGCACCUGCUUGCUGGGACUUAGGUGGGUGGACAUCGUAUCUCAUAUCUCGUCGUAUUCGGCCAGCUGUUGGGGAUGCCAGUUUCAGGAGUUCACUCACAGGCCGCCGAGCUCAUUCUGUACGGGGCUAGCCUCUCCCCUUCUCCGUUUCUGAUCCUGGGCCUUCUGUGUGUGCUGCUCUCAGCCUCUUGGUCAUCUUUAAGGUCAUGAUUACACCAAGCUACUGUAACCCGGCAACCCUGGGGGCUUCAGAGACCUCAGGAGGUUUGGGUCCCUGUAUUUAGAGGCCCUGAGAGCAACCCCCUGUCUCUGUCCAGGGAAGUCACUGUCGAUCUUAUCAGAACUGUGUCCUGUAGAGGGCCAGGUGGGCCUGUGGACCUCCUGAGCCGCUCCCUCUGAGCCGUGCGCAAGUGGCGGGGCUUUGGCUUAAUAGGAAUUUUCUUCUCUUGUUUCCUGUUUUUCCCGUGGACUUUGGCUGAUAGGAGCUGCUGGGUGCGUGAGCUGGUUGAAGACGUUUUCCUAGGAUUGAAAUGCAGGCCAAACUCCUCGGGUUGGUGGGUUCUGUUGCUGGACCCCCUGGGAAACCAGUCCUCUUUCACCACGUGGAGGGAAUCUCCCCAGGUCAUUCUUCACAACUCCCACGGUGGCCAAGGUUGGCCCAGUUUCCUGAGAAGCGCUGCGGGGUGAGAACUUUAGGUUUUGUGAGCUGAGAGUUGAACAGAACACCAGUGAAAACAGGUUUCCACACAAGUUUUCACUGAUGAAAUUCAAAGUACAAUGAUAAUAGUAACUGGGUAUAGUUUGGAGAACACAGAUCUAAUAAGAAGAACGGAAUCAUUUGGGGGGAAAUAACAGUUUGCAUGACUUGCUGUUCUGCAGGCUCAAGUGGAAAAAUGUCUCUUCUUCCAGAUGGAGAAGGGGAAAUGGACCAGUGAGUUGGUAGUGCUACUGAUGAAGGAAUCUCUGGAAUAGAGGAAGUGGUUGGAAGAGUGAUGACCAGACAGGCAUCCGGUGUGUGUCCAAGGUCCAGCUAAAGAGUGUCCUCCUUCCUUUCAUAAGGAAGCUUUGAAAUGGCCCCGAUUCCCCUCCUCGCCUUCCCUUGGGGUUGUGCAACCUGACUGAUGGUGAGGAACGUCUGAUGGUACCAGUGGUUACAGGGAAGACCGACAAGAAGGGAGGUCAAAGGGACAGGGAUCCAGAGGACAAAGAAGGGGAGGACAUCCACCAGUUAUGGGAUGUCCCUGUACAGAUACGGCACAGUGAGUCCUGUGCUCAUUGAAAUAAUAAGAGGAGGGAGAUCCACAGAGAAAGUGGAUCUGGGGGCGGGGAAGUGGGAAGGUACAGGGAAUGAGCUGGAUCCACUGUGUUGUGUGCAUCCAUAACUAUGGCAUAACGAAUCCAUACUGUAUAGGUAUGACGCACCAAUAAAAAAGAAAUAAAAUGAGUGUCCUUGAUGGAAAGCAAGGAGGCCCCUCAUGUUUGGCAGAAAGACUCCUGUGAUUUCCAAUGUUUAAUUUGCUCUUAAAUUCUUUAUCUACGUUAGAUAUUCUCAUCUGCAGUUUUCGAUGAAGCUGGUAUAUUGACAGUUCUUAGCCAAGACCCUCCAUCCAAACUCAAAGUUUCAGUCUACGGUCAGGUAGGAUGUAAGAACGAAGCAGUUGUCUUGAGUUCAAGUUUCCGUUUUAAUCACGAAAAUUAAAAUCGUGCACCACGCACAGGUGGGGCCGGAUUGGGCCUGUGGGCACGUUGUCCGGCGCCUGGCUGGGGGCUGGACAGUUGCUCCUCCAUGUCUGUUUGCUCCCCUCCUUCUAGUGCCCGGGUGAGCUGGGCUUGAGCUCAGCACACAGCCACGUCUGGGCCCCGCUUCUCCAAGCCUCCCCUGGAGACCUGUGCACCUUGUCAUGGCAUCCUGCACGCUGGCCUGGAAGCCGCCCUCAUUUCUAUCAUCCUGCUGUGCAGGAAGGAAAGGGGAGCAGAUCCAGCCUCCCGGACCCAGAAACAAAUGCUCUCUGUGGAGUGUGGUGGCACCACCCCGUCAUCUCCAAACCGCUCCAGGAGCAAGGAGGAAACCGCUGUCCCCAGGGAGGCCUGGGACCUUCUCCUGGGACAGCUUAACUGUGCUGGCAAAGAGACUGUGUUCUCCUUACACAUGAGAAGCGUGUCUCCUCCUCUUCCUUCUCCUGCUCCUCCUUUCUGUCCACGAGAGUGAUUCGUAAUUUGCUCUAUUUCCUGCUGGCCUUAUGAUUCCGUAAUAUAAUGAGCUUUUUUUUUUUCUGCUUCAACAAAAAAACAAUGAAAUUCUUUUUUGUGGCAUGGAUAAGAACAGUCAAAUUAGAAUUCAAAAGCUAUCUGAAGAUUUGUUAGGUUUCCUAAACAAAGCUCAUAUGAUGCUGGUUUUUUUUUUUUUUAAAAAUAUUUAUUUAGUUGUAGAUGAACACACACAAUCUUUACUUUUUUUUUAUGUGGUGCUGAGGAUUGAACCCAGUGCCUCGCAUGUGCUAGGGAAGCACUUUACCACUGAGCUACAGCCUCAGCCCCGAUGCUGUUGUAUUUUUGUAAUCAUGGAGAAAGCAGAACACACAGGAAGCGCAUCUUACUACUUUGAUGAACUUUUCUAAUCGUGUCGAGUUUCAGAGGAGGGAUGGCUGAACGUGAUACCUCCACACGGCACAAAAUCAUAAACUGUACAAGAAGCAACCAAACCAGUGCAGAAGCCGCUGCCGGUACUGGUUCCCUAGCCAAAGAGGGCUGUCGGCUGUUGACCGGAUCCCUCCUGCCCCCAAGGGUUGACAUCUUGCAGAAGGCGAAGAAUUUUUGGCAGGAACCAGACAAGUUCUGGGCCACAUGGGCCGUCCCUGUGGUGCUGAAGACUGGGUUUGAAUUCGGCACCCUCCGCUCGCCGCCCUCCCGUCUCCUCUCUCAGCCUCUUGGCCUCAUCCAUGAGCUGCUGUAGCGGGAACCCCUUACUCAGGCCGCUGGGAAGCCCAAGGGAUCUGAGCGUAGUGCCAUGUCCUGAGCUGCUCUGCUUCUCCACACCCUUCCGCCAUGAUGUUCUGUCUCACCUGGACCCAGAGCAAUGGAGCUGGCCACCCACGGACGGAGACCUCGGAAACCACGAGCCCCCAAAUAAACUUCUUCCCCAAAAAUCGUUCUCGCCAGGUCUUUUGGUCAGAGCAGGGUAAAAGUUGGCUGAGACGAGCGUUCAGCAUCAGCUCUAUCACACCGACAUCCAGUGAGGACUUCCCGGGAGAGCGGUGCGCAGGGCACUCUAGUCGCAGUGGCUCCCUCUCUGUCUCCUGGUGAGUGGAGCUCCCCGGUCACCUGGCACCAGGCUUCUCCAGGUCCAUGUCUCUGGCACCCUGAGGCUGGCCCUUUGAAAAGCAGAUUUUCAGCAGGAUCUGUGGCUUUCUGCUUGUCCUCGAUCGAUCCCGUGGCACUUAACAGGACCAGAAACAGCCUCCUCCGUGCCCUGGCAGUUUCAGGCAGAAGUGGUCCCUGACCCAUGUGCACAUUUUAACGUUUUCUCCAGACCUGGCCACGAAAUGGUCGACCAGAUUGGUUCCUUAGGAAACCGAUUUCCUUUCUGAGCAUCUUCUCUUGCCGUCCAACGAACGUUUUAACCACUUUCCCCUCCACUUCCUUCCUUUCCCGGGGCGCUGAGCUCCGAGGCCGGCCACCGUGCAGGAAAGCAUUACCGCGGAAGCUGGGAGCUGUAGCUUCGCCAAAAGGCCCCGCUUUUGCCCUGGGGCAAACUUGUUAAGAUUGGGAGCUCCUCCGCCAGGGUCAUCUGUCCAAGGGCGCUGUGAAAGCCUCCUGGGAUGUUCAUCUAGCCACGGUCUAAUUAAUUUUCAAACGGACAAAACAGCUUCUUGGGCCGCGUAACAAGCAUUUUCAUUCAUCUGCGCGAGGCUGGAUUUGGCUCCGAGCAGGGUCACGAGGAACCCUAAUGGCUGCUUCCCUCCUUUGUGUGUCCCCAGGAGAGCUUGUGUUGAUGUCAACAAAGCAGGAUCUGUGCUUCAGGCGAUUGGAGUGGGUUCGGCUUCCAGAGAGCCAAGUUCUUUGACUUCGCUGAGAAGGAAAGGGGGGAUUUGUGCCAGUUGGGAAAUAGACUUUUUCUUUCCCCUGAGAGGGAGUGCCCAGACCUCGGAAACUGCCCCUCCUGGCCACAAGCCCCUCAGGAAGGGUCAGCAGGGUGGCCUGACCCUAGGAGCACAACCCACGGAACAUGACACGUUCCUUGCAGUGCUGCCGCAGGGCAGUCUGGCCCUGGCAUUUGUUACAAGAAGUCCCCAAGCUGCUGGCUGGUGCCCUUGCAGCCAACAAAGGACCACGGAAUGCACCUGUGUCCUGCCUUCCAGGAGCCCCUCCUUGGUGGCAGCCUUACCAGCAGAGGCUGUCUCGCCCCUUGUUUUGCCCUGUAAGACGGGCUCUCCUCUGCACUGAGUAAAGGAAGAGGGAGAAGAACGUCCAUGCCUAAGUGCGCUUGAAGACCCAGUCUUUGUUGGUGUGUCUUGCACGUGGCUUUGUCUCUGAUGUGUCCACAGCUAGAGCAGCACCUGUCUGACCCUGCUACACACAUCGGCGGACUGCCUACGCCGUGCCAAGCUCUCCCCAGCCCCUGCCAGGCAGUGACAUCAUUUGCCCUCUGUUCAGGUACAGACGGGGAAUCCAGAGAGUCCAUAAAUAGUAGUCAUUUACCCUUAACAAUGCUUCCUGAGAUAAUAGACCUGCUUUUCACAGUUUGGAGAGAAACGGUUCCUCAUUUGUAAUGUCACCAAGACCAGAUCCUUGGGCAGGACGUCAGAGAUGGCUGAGCAGAUGCCGUGCGGUUCCUCUCCCAGCUCCAGAGCCUCUGGGAUCAGCGAGGCAUCGGGGUUUCCAAGACAAGAGCACAUUAACGGACAUUGUUGUACAGGAGGGUUUUCUCUGCCUGGCGAAAUCCGUGCCUCUUUUUUAAGUUUGCAGAAUUUGAAACACGUGCAUACAACAGGAUGGUGCAGUGAGGUGCGCUGACGGUAUUGCUUCUCCCUCCCAUUGCGUAUCUUUGUUCAGGAGUCAACGAAAAGGGAUAUUCUCAAAACUCUAGCACAAACAAAGGCAGCACUCAGUGCCCAAUAUAAACAUAUUUCUGUUUAGCAAAGAGCAGGAGUAUCGAGGCCCUCCGCUUUUCUCUUCUCACACAGCAGCAUGUUCUGUGCUGACGGUAUGAGUUAACAAAUUCGAGUCUGUUUAUUUUGUUGGAAAUUCCACUUCAUGAAUCACCGCGUUCCACAGAACAGCAGAAGGACAGCAUGGCCAUUGUUUGACUCACAGUGGUCCCAGCCCCAGGAGCCCGUCCCGACGUCCGCUUGCCGUCAGCGGGCCCUGUCUGCUUUCAUCUUUCCAAGGCCUCCCUUCUAAUAGCAUUCAAAUUAUUUAGACACUCAACCAUGUUUUUGCCUCCGGUGCAGACACUUCUAAAGAGCGCGAGCCCCAGUGUGACCAAAUAACCCUCCACUAUUUAUCUUCUCACAAGUCAUUAUUCCGGAGGCUCUGAGGAGCGGCUCCCAGCAUGUGCACCGCAGGCCGCCAGAGCUCCUCCUGCAGAAACCAGCCGGCCCAUGGGCCUGCUCUGCUCCCGUCUCUCUGGCAGGUACACAAUGCCACGGUUCAGGCAGAGGGGAGGCGGGGCAGCGUGGUUUAGCCAUGAUUCCCCGAGUUCCUAGAGUAAGGAGCAUGUGGGCCCCCAAAUCAAUUGUGAUUAUUAAUGAUCUCCAUCCCUUUCAGUAAUUGCAAGGAAACUGUAGGCACUCGGAAAGAAAUUAAAAUGUGAACAGUCA